AACAACUCACCUGCCGAAUGAAUCAGCCCUGAAAAUGGAUGGCGCUUAAGCGGGCGACCGACACCAUGCCGUCUGUAUAAGAGUAAAUUUUACAGAUGAGUAGGAGGACGUGGCGGUUGUGUCGAAGCAUGCGUGCGAACGCGUGUGGAACGGCCGCUAGUGCAGAUCUUGGUGGUAGUAGCAAAUAUUCAAGCGAGAUCCUUGAAGGGCGAAGCGGGGAAGGGUUCCACGCAAACAUUGAUUGGGCGUGGGUGAGUCGUUCCUAAGCCGAGUGGCAAUUGCUAAGUAGCGGCGAAAGGGAAGCAGGUUGACAUUCCUGCACACGGAUGUGGAGGCGGUGACGCUUUAAUGAGGGCGAAGACGCUGGCGAUGGCGCUGGGCAGAGAUUUCUUUUCUGUUUAACCGCUGAAGCGCGCGGUGUGGAAUCCGCUUGUCGGGAGAAACACGCUCGUUCGGGCAGAGCGCCGGGGCUAUUCCGGCGUCCAGCUCGCCAUCGACGGCCCUUGAAAAUUUGCCUGCUGGAAUAGUUUUUUUAAUAUUCUAUGAAGAUCCACGCCGUGGCGUACCGAUAACCGCAUCAGGUCCCCAAGGUGAACAGCCUCUGCUCUAUAUGAAUAAU
rnacentral:rRNA from 1 species